rnacentral:rRNA from 1 species
UGGGGAAUCUUGCGCAAUGGGCGAAAGCCUGACGCAGCAACGCCGCGUGAGUGAUGAAGGUCUUCGGAUCGUAAAGCUCUGUCGGCAGGAACGAUGGAGAGCGUGGCUAACAUCCACGAGCUCUGACGGUACCUGCAAAGGAAGCACCGGCUAACUCUGUGCCAGCAGCCGCGGUAAGACAGAGGGUGCAAGCGUUGUUCGGAAUUAUUGGGCGUAAAGGGCGCGUAGGCGGCGACUAAAGUCAGAUGUGAAAUCCCUGGGCUCAACCCAGGAAGUGCAUCUGAUACUGAGUUGCUUGAAUCCCGGAGAGGGUGGUGGAAUUCCUGGUGUAGAGGUGAAAUUCGUAGAUAUCAGGAGGAACACCGGUGGCGAAGGCGACCACCUGGACGGAGAUUGACGCUGAGGCGCGAAAGCGUGGGAGCAAACAGGAUUAGAUACCCUGGUAGUCCACGCUGUAAACUAUGGGUGC